UACAGAGGUCUCAAGCGUUGUUCGGAUUCAUUGGGCGUAAAGGGUGUGUAGGUGGCGCGCUAAGUCGGGUGUGAAAUUUCGGAGCUUAACUCCGAAACUGCAUUCGAUACUGGCGUGCUUGAGGACUGGAGAGGAGACUGGAAUUCAUGGUGUAGCGGUGAAAUGCGCAGAUAUCAGGAGGAACACCGGUGGCGAAGGCGGGUCUCUGGGCCGAAAUUGACGCUGAGGAGCGAAAGCGUGGGGAGCAAACAGG
rnacentral:rRNA from 1 species